rnacentral:rRNA from 1 species
UACGUAGGGCGCAAGCGUUGUCCGGAAUUAUUGGGCGUAAAGAGCUCGUAGGCGGUCUGUUGCGUCCGCUGUGAAAACUCGGGGCUUAACCCCGAGCCUGCAGUGGAUACGGGCAGACUAGAGGUAGGUAGGGGAGAAUGGAAUUCCCGGUGUAGCGGUGAAAUGCGCAGAUAUCGGGAGGAACACCGGUGGCGAAGGCGGCGUUCUGGACUGCAACUGACACUGAUGAACGAAAGCCAGGGGAGCAAACGGG